AGAAGCAGGCAAGGCAAAUCUGAAUCCAGCUUCUUGGAAGACAAUCCAGCAGCAUUAAGAAUCUUCAGAAACCUGAUACCUUUCACAAAUUCAGUGUCAGAAAGAUGUAGUAAAUGCUUUUUUUUUUUUAAUACCCAAAAAGAAAAGCUAUUGUUACUAAUGGCUUUUCGCAGCCAAAAGUAGAGUGAUAAUUUGUAUACCCAUGUUUUGUUUAUGUAUUUUUAUAGUGUUUUAAAGAAGUUUUAGAUUCAUAUAAAGUUAUAAACUUUCUUUGUCUUGCAUAAGUUGUUGCAGUAAUUCAAGAGCCAAAGACUUGAAUUUCAUCAGCUUUGUCCGAAGAACCAAUCUUAUCAAUGCCUUAUUUGGCAAUUUCUUUUUGUUUUUGAGAAAUAAUAAUUUCAUUAAAUCAAAACAGCAAUAAUUAAUUGGGAAGGGCAUAUAGAGAUACAAGUUUUAAUUAAUUUAUGUAGGGGGAGGGGGAAUAUAGGGAUAGGUAGGGGGAGAGGGUAUAUAGGGAUAGGAACGUUAUUAAAGCAUUUUUGCAUUGUGCCGUCUUUGCAUUACAUGCCUUCUCCUCGACUGAAUCAUUAUUGCAUUUAUGUCAUAUAGAGUCCAUUUAGCACACAUCUUAUUUAAUAGCCGAUGCCUUCUAUUCAAUCCUUGAGAAAAGUUAUUUCACAUUAUUAAUUACCUUAUCUGUCUAUUUCGGUUGGUUUCAGCUUUACAAUUGAAACCUUCGACUAUAAAUACAGCUCAAGUUUGGGCUCAAAACAGGGCAAUAUGGAUUCCUUUAUCUACAGUAUUCUUAUCAUCUCAAUCCUAGCUUUUAUUAUUAUAAGACUAAUCCUCUUUUUUUCUUCUAAAUCCUGCAAUGGAGUCCCUCAGAAGAGGCUAUUGCUAGGGAUGUUAUCGUUAUUGUUUCCGAACCUGGACUUAAGCGUUCACGAUAGAACUGCUGAAAUGCUUGAAAGAAGCAAGGGAACAAUACACAUCCAUCAAUAUUCAUGGUUCACUGGCACCAAAGUCCUGCUCACCAGUGACCCUGCAAACGUCUGCCAUGUACUAAGCACUAACUUUUCCAACUACCCCAAGGGGUCGAAAUGGAGAGAACACGUAGAUGUUCUUGGAGACACCCUUUUCAGUGCCGAUUUUAAAGAGUGGGAGAAAGAAAGAAAACUGGUACGUUCUCUCACUAGUUACCACAAAUUCCAUCAGGCCACCACCAAGAUUGUUUGGGACAGAAUACAGACAGGGCUCAUCCCUGUGCUUCAACAUGCUUCGAAACUGGCUCUACUGGUUGACCUCCAAGAUUUGUUUCAAAAACUCAUCCUUGACAUUGCUUGGAUGAUAUCCAUCGGCUACAAUCCCAACUUUCUGGGGAUCGAGUUUCGGAAAGAUCCGUUCUCCGUGGCUUUAGAAGAUGCAUGUGAAGCGGCUUUUUCUCGUUUUCUAAUGCCCCAUAGUUUGUGGAAGUUACAUAGGUGGCUAGGAAUUGGCAAAGAAAAGAAACUAAAACAUGCUUGGGAAACCAUUGAUCGUGUCUUUGCAGAUUGCAUAUCUAAGAAGCAAGAAGAAUCAGCCAAAGGGGAAGAUCAUGAGGAGGGCUGCAAUUUCGAAGGUGUUUACUGCGUUACCGGGGAGGAUAAGGCCUUCAGAUCAGCUGCUACUCGUAAAGGGUUGAGGGACAACAUUGUCAGUUUCAUAUUUGCCACACAAGACACAACUAGUUCAGUUCUUACAUGGUUCUUCUACAGUGUUGCCAAGCAUCCAUCUGUUGAAGCUAAAAUCAGAGAUGAAAUAUUUAAAAAUAACCCACAAGAACUGAACAAAUUGGUGUAUCUACAUGCAGCAUUAUGCGAAACAUUGAGACUGUUCCCUCCAGGACCAGUGCUGUCAAGAAUAGCUGUUGAACCUGACACCCUCCCGAGCGGCCAUAGAAUCAAUGGGAACACGAAUGUUGUGAUCGCAGUACACGCAAUGGGAAGGAUGACAUCGAUAUGGGGAGACGAUUGUCAUGAAUUCAAGCCAGAGAGAUGGAUCACCGAGCAAGGAGAGAUUAAACGCGUGUCACAUUAUCAGUUUCCGGCAUUCAGUGCAGGGCCGAGGAUUUGUCUAGGGAAGAAGUUAGCAUUUAUGAUGAUGAAGGCAACCGCAGCAACGAUUAUCUAUAACUACGAUAUUGAGAUACAGGUGGAUCACCCAGCUGAACCCAAGAGUAGCGUUGUCUUCCAUAUGAAGCGUGGACUGAUGGCUAGGAUCAACAGUAGAGGAACUUGAUUUAUUUCACGCAUGCAAGCUUAUCUCUAUGUCUUUGUAGUUUGCUCGUCUUUGAUACAUCGUAAGUAGCUUUUCUUUUAAAUAAUGAUCAUGCAGGUUGAAAUAAAUAAAUAAGGAAAAUAAAGCCUUAUUAUUAUUAUUAUUAUUAUUAGCAAAUAUUUUAUUAUUAUUACUAUAAAUAAAGCAAGUUAAUUUUACAAAACCAAAAAUUUUAGUCUAAAUGAAAAUUAUUCAAAUUUCAUUCACCAAAUAAAGAAUGCUAUUAAUGUUAGUUAGAAUGAAAAUUUUGUUUUCAACUUAUACGGAUGAUCUUAAUUUCCAAUGUUUCUCGCAUUGCACAGUUGACAAAUAAUUAAAGCUUUUAAAUUAAUUUUUUAGGAUACGACUUUAACUCAACACUCAUUAUAGCUUCUUUAAUUAAAAUUUUUAAACAUGUUUUAGUUGGACAGAUUUGGCACUUUCAUUUUAUUAUUCUUUAAACUCUCUCGCUUACUUACUCAAGGUAGUGUAACAAAUAAUUAUUGGUUUUAUAUAAAUUUUAACUUUUGAAUUGUAUUCAUGUUACAUAUUAAUUAAUUUAUUAUAGUGUGUUUGUGUCCUUCUUAAUUCAUUCAUAUUUUUUAUAUUUUUUUUAUAAUAAUUUAAUUUUAAUUUUAUAUUCAUUUAUUUAAAUUUUAAAAAAUCAAUAUAUAUAUUAUGUUAAAAGUUUCUUAGAUUUUUUUAUGAAAAAGAAAUUAAAACGAAUGAAUUUAGACACAAGGGUAGAUCUAGGAGCUGGUAGGAUUUAAGUCCUCUAAAAUGAAAAAUUUUCCAUUUAGGCUAUUUAUAGUUUAUAAGAUUUUAAAUUAAUAAUGGUAAAAUUAGAUCUAAAAUAAUAAUUUAAUUUAAUCUUUUAAAAAUUAUAAAUAUAUAGGCUAUUAAAAUGACAAAAUUACAUUUUUACUAUUAUAAAAAUAUAUAAUUUAAUUUUGACCCUUAAAAAAAUGUCUAAAUUUGCCCCUAUCCCUAAGUCGUAUUUCUGGAUCCACCACUUAUUAGACAUGUUUAUAUAUAUUUAUAUAUAUAAAUUCUUAUGUACAAUUUUUUAAGUAAAUAAUCCACAUGCUAUAUUCAUAACUAGAGAAAAGCAUCACAACAAACAUAAACUUUUUUACGUCAAUAAUACAAAAAAAAUUACGAAAAUAGUGUAAAAAGUAUAUUAUUUACAAGAAUAAAUCAUUGUAAAUGUGUCGAGGAAUGUCACCUGUAAAAUAUAUUUUAAUAAAAAUAAAUAAAAUAAUAUUAUUUUAAUUUAAAAAAGGGUGUCGUCAAACAAAGAGUCGCGCCCAUUUUUCACAUGCACUUUUACUUUUUCUUUUUAACAACCGGUCAAUUUAUCAUUAAAAGCCUAUUUUUUUUAAAUUUAUCGAAAUAGGCCCGGUAUUUUAUUAUUUACCGGAAUGGGCCCUUUUUCCCUAAAGUGCGUCCACGUCAGCGCGAAGUCAAGGGACGUGUCAGCAAAUCGCGUCCACGUCAGCGCGCUUUGCUGACGUGGCAACAAAUCACGUCCACGUAAGCGCGAUUUGUGUCCAUGUCAGCAAAGCGCUUUGACGUGGACGCGUUUUGAUGCCACGUAGCGCGCCUCUGGAGACACGAUUUCCCCGCACGCGAACAGUGCAACGGUAAAAAAAAAAAUCUAUAAAUACCCCCACCCUUUAUUUUUUUUCACAAACUAAUCCUCUCUCAAUUAUUUUCUCAAUUUCCUCUCAAUUUGCUCUCCAAUUCCUUCCAAAUUUCUCUCAAAUCCAUAUUUAAUCUCAAUUUACUCUUAAAUUUCUCUUAAAUCCCUAUUUUUAAAUAAUUUUAAAAAAAAUUAUUUUUUUAAUUUUUUUAAAUUGUAAAAAUUUGUACAAUUUCAGCAAUGGCCGGAGAAUUGACUCGUCUUGAUAAGCAGCAAAUAUCCGUCGAACAAAUGAAAAUGGUAAGUGUUAAAUUUAAUUUUUAAAUAUUAUUUAAGAUUUUUUUAUUUAUGCAUUUUUAGAUAAUUAUUAAUUUAUUAUUUGUUAUAAAAGUCUGUAGAUCGGAUAUUGGAAUGCUAUAUCCGAAAUAUGCAUGCUCCUCCAUCACUGUUGGUAGAGAACUACCUGUGAGAAGCGGGUUUUUGGCACGUGGACGCGACUUCAGAAAGUCUUCUGAUAAAGCAUCCUACUUUGAUUUUAUCUUAAAAACUCAUAAACAUGAAACGUAAUCUAAUUUUGAAUAAAUUAUAAUUAAUUUAAUUAGGAAACUCUAAACCCUAAUCCCUUAUUUGUUUACUUUUUUCUCCAAAACCCUAAAAAUCCUAAAAAUCCUAAACCCUAACCCUAAAAACCAAAAACCUAACGUGGGAAAAACGGGGAAAACGCGUCCCCAGGGGCGCGCUUUGCUGACGUUGCAGCAAAUCACGCCCACGUAAGUGCGAUUUGUGUCCACAUCAGCAAAACGCGUUGACGUGGACACGAUUUGCUGACACGUCCCCUGACUUCGCGCCAACGUGGACGCGCUUUAGGGGAAAAGGGCCCAUUCCGGUAAAUAAUAAAAUACCGGACCCAUUUCGGUAAAUUUUUAAAAAAAAAUGGCUUUUUUUGGUAUUUUGCCCUUAACAACUUUUAUAUUUAUAUUUUAUAUUUUAUAUAUUAAUAAAUAAAAGGCUAAGUUUUUUAUUUUCAUAGUUUUAUAAUAUUUUAUAAUUAUAAAAAUUUUGAAUAUGAAGAAUAAUGAUUAAAUUGGUUGACUGAGUUUUAACUCGAUUAAUAUCAACAUUAUUGUCAGAGCAGGAGGAUAUGAGUUCAAGCGCAUUAAAGUGCAUUUAUCCUCCUAUUUACAAGUGGGAAGAGAUUGUAUGUAGUUCUAGGCAUUGUAUAAAAAAAAGAAUAAUGACCAAAUUGAUAAUUUUUUGGUAAAAUUGACAUAAAAACAUUAGGUUAAGCUACCUAAAUAGUCAUUCAAUUUUUUUUUAGUGAGUUCCUAUUUUGGUCACCGGAAUUUUUUUUGUUAAUUUCAUCACUCCCGUUAAGUGAAUUUCCAAUUCUACUCACUCCACCAUUAAGAUGUAUUUGGUUACUAAACAGAAUGUCGAUGUGGCCUUCUUUUGAUUGGUAUAAUAACAAAGUUACCCCCUAAUAUUUUACACAUUCUAUCAAGUUGAUUCUAUUUCUAAAAAAUUCAAUAAAUUUCACCCUCAAAGUUUAUGCAUUAUCAACUCGAUCAUUAUUGUAAAUUUUCAAAAACUUAUAAUUAUAAAAUAUUUUAAAAAAUAACACAAACCAACCAUUUUUUUUAUAAAUAUUAAAAAAUUCGAUGAUCAAAACAGGAACUCGCUAAAAAUACUUAAUUGAUUAUUUAGGUAAUUUACCCUAACAUUUUUAUGUCAUUUUUAUCAAAAAAUUUAUCAAUUUGGUUAUUAUUUUAAAUAUUUAAACUUUUAUAAUUAUAAAAUAUUAAAAAAUUAUAUAAUUAUUAGGUCAGUCUCAUAACCUUCCUUGUUUGUGGGAGGUGAUUGCAAUGAAAUUUUAUAUUCUUUUGAAAAGAAAAAGGGGCUUCCUAGAGAGGAAAGGUGAAUGGAGGCUUUUAGAGAAGCUCUGAGUGAUUGUUGAUUGAUGGAUGUUAGAUAUUGUGGACUGUGGUUUACUUAGGAGAAAGGUAAUCUCCCAAAAACUAAUAUUAGGGAAAGAUUAGACAAAAGGUAGCUAAUAAAGGUUGGAUGAUUCUGUUUCCCAAUGCACAAGUACGUCAUCUCCCACAUUCGUUCUCUAACCAUUGUCCACUUCUUAUUCAGACAGAGAUUGACGUAGGUAAUCCUCGAUUUAAAUGUUUUCAGUUCGAGUCUUGGUGGGUUUUGGAGGAGACUUUUGUACUAAGAGUUAGGGACCUUUUGGGGGAGGGUGACGAAGAUGUUCUUACUAAAUUAGACAGGGUUCGGGAAGCUUUGGACAAGUGGGCGCAAGAGAUUAGAUGUAAGAACGGAGGGGUGAAAAAGGAGUUGUCUAGGAAGCUGGAAGUGCUAUUAGAAGAAGAUAAGAUGAUGACAAUCUUGCAGAGUUGAUUGAUACUAAAGUUUAGUUAAACUUAGAGAUUGAUAAGGAUGAAUUUUUUUUGGGAACAGAAGGCAAGGGAAAACUGGCUGAGAUUGGGGAGGAUAAGAAUACAACUUUCUUUCAUAACUUUGCUUCCCAAAGGGGGAAAAAUAGAAUAAAUGGAUUGCAAGGGGAGGACGGACGGAUAGUGAGGGGGAGGUGGAGAUGGAAAUUAUCGCAAGGAAUUAUUUUCAAUCUCUCUUUGAAUCAAAGGGGAUAGGGGAGAUGAACUAUAUUUUUUCUAGGGUAAGACAUUGUAUCUCUGAUGAGUCUAAUGUUUUGCUGAUAGCGCCUUAUACUAGGAAAGAGAUCUUGGAGGCUUUGAAUGGCAUGGGUCCUAUGAAGGCAUCUGGCAAUGAUGGCUUUCCGACAAUAUUCUUUCAGAGAUGCUGGCAUAUUAUUGGUAAGGAUAUUACUUCAUACUGUUUGGAGAUCCUCAACGAGUGUAAAACCUUAGCUCCUUUAAACCUUACAAAUAUUGUGCUUAUUCCUAAAAUUCCUUUCCCGUUGAAUUUAGUGAACUUUGGGCCUAUUAGUUUAUGCACGUUUCUUUAUAAGAUGAUUGCUAAAAUGAUAACUAAUCGAUUCCAAAGGGUUUUGGAGGAUUGCAUUAAUGAGGCCCAAAGUGCUUUUAUGCCAGGGCGGUUAAUAUCUGAUAAUAUCCUAUUGGCCUAUGAAAUUUUGCAUUCCUUUCAUAAAAAAAGGGUGGGGGAAGAAGGGCUUUAUGGCUCAUAAACUUGAAAUGACUAUGGUAUUUGAUCUAGUAGAAUGGGGUUUCGUGAAAUAAAUAAUGGAGCGAAUGGGUUUUGCAAGCAAUUGGGUAGAUAUUAUUAUGAGAUGUAUCUCUUCGGUCUCUUAUUCUGUGGUAUUGAAUGGGGAGGUGGGGGAGAGGAUUGUGCCAAGUAGAGUACUUCGACAAGGUAACCCUUUAAGCACUUUUCUUUUUCAAAUUUGUAGUGAAGGUUUAUCUACUCUCAUGAGGCUAGCUUUAGGUGAAGGGUUGAUUAAGGGUGUAAAGGCUAGUAAAAAGGGAUUAGAAAUUACGCACCUCCUAUUUACUGAUGAUUGUGUACUAUUUGGUGAAGUUAGCGAUAGAGGGGCCAAUGCUAUAAAACAAAUAUUGAUGGAAUAUGAAUUUUGUUCUAGUCAGUGUAUCAAUUAUGACAAGUUUGCUACGUACUUUAAUUCGAAUGUGUUAGAAGACAAUCAGAAUCGGGUGUCAAGUUUAUUGGGGAGUUCAAUUAUCAAAUGAGAUUGAAAGAUAUUUGGGUCUUCCAAAUAUGGUGGGUAGGAAAAAGAGAGUAUCAUUCCAAGCUUUAAAAGAUCAAGUGGAAAAGAGGAUAGAUAAUUGGAGCAUAAGGUUGUUGUCGCAAGGUGGGAAGGAAGUGUUUAUUAAAGCAUUUUUGCAGGCCAUUCCAUCAUACACAAUGUCAUGUUUCUUGUUGCCUAAGAUGCUUUGUAAGGAAUCGAAAGUAUUUUAGUGCGAUUUUGGUGGCAAAAAAGUCACAGAUGGAAGGGUAUCCAUUGGUGUCAAUGGGCGAAAUUGUGUGAGCUUAAAGAGUAUGGUGGGUUGGGUUUUCGUUGUUUAUCCUCUUUAGUAUUGCCUUAUUAGCCAAGCAGGGUUGACAUCUUAUUAAUAAUCCAGAUUCUUUGUUGAAUCAUGUACUAAAAGCUAAAUACUACCCGAGUUGUGAUUUUUUGGAGGCUGGACUAGGAAGUUUACCUUCUUUUACCUGGCUUAGUAUGUUGUCAAUGAAGGGGCUACUCCAUGAGGGCCUUGGAUAGCGGGUAGGUAGAAGGGACCAAAUUUUAAUCCGAGAGGACACUUGGCUAGUUGGGGCAGUAAAUUAAAAAGUUGGUGGGAAAAUUAGUGAUGACAUUUUAAUUAAAGUUUAUGACUUGAUCGAUCAUUCUUGUAGAAAAUGGAAUGGGGGUUUUAUUAGAAGUACCUUUGAGGAGAGUGAUACAGAUAAAAUUUUGCGGAUUCCGUUGGCUAGAAUAAAGCAUGAGGACUUGGUUGUAUGGAGGGGGAACCUUCAAGAUCAUUUCUGAUGAGGAGUGCAUACAAAUUGCUUCUUAAUAGUAAUAGAGAUUCUGAAUCUACAGUGCUCUUAAAUGCCACAAAAGGCUUAUACAAGAAAUUAUGGAAUCUAAAUUUAACUACAAAACAGAAAGUCAAGUUUGGAAAAUCUUAUGGAACUAUUUACCUAUUUUAGCUAAUCUCUAUAGCAGACGUUUGGGUGUUCUUUUAGUCUGUCUUAGGUAUGGAGUUGGCCCAGAAUCAAUUGAUCAUGCUUUCCAGAAAUGUCCUGUAUCAGAAAAGAUGUGGAGUGAACUUAAUCUAUCUUAGAUAACAUCUCAAUAUUAGUUAAAUAUUCAAGAAUGGAUGACCUGGGUUUUCUAGUUUGGUAAUUAUGACGAUUGCACGUUGGCUAGUUGUGCGUUGUGGGUAAUCUGGAACGAAUGGAAUAAAGCCUUCCAUGAGGGGAUUAAAAACUCAGGACAGUGGGCAGCUGAGUUCACAAAAAAUUAUUUGCGCAAACUUGAUUGGUUAAUAGAUUGGGAACUUACCAAAAACUGUGUCAGUUUAGAACGGGUUCCUCCAGCAGAUCCUUUUAUUAGGAUAAACUUCGACACUACUUUUGACCAAAAGGAGUUUAGAUCAAGUUCAGGUGUUAUUGUCAAAAAUGAAAGAGGGGAGGUUCUACUUACCAAGUCAACGUUGCAUGGGGAGGUUGCGUCCUCUUUUGUUGCGGAGACACUAGCAUGCUCGCAGGCGGUCGAGGUGGGUCAGAGUUUGGGAGUUGACAUGGUUAAAGUCAAAAGAGAUUCAUUAGUAGUCAUUAGAAAACGUAAUUCUAAAGAAAAUGACAGAUCUAAAAUUAGAAAUAUUAUCAAAGAUAUCCAUCAGAACAAAUGAGACUUCUAUUAGAUAUGUUUGAAUAAGUCUCCAAUUGUUACUGGAGGUUGUUUGCUAUUUUCUUGUUUCUAGUUGUUAGCUACUUCCUUAUUCUUAGUUGAGUAGUUGCUAAAAACCAGCGAAGUAUUUUACUGCAAUUUGUUAAUAAGCUUGACUAUAUAUAUGUGUCAAGCACAUGAAUAAAAAGUAGUAGUACUUUCAAUCAAAUAUUUUAACACCUGUUUUUUCUUUCUAACAUUCUGGUAUCCGAGCCAGGUUCAGGCCUGGUAAAGCAUAGCCGCAGCUAGCUAAAACUAAAAGAGAAAGAGAG
rnacentral:lncRNA from 1 species